rnacentral:rRNA from 1 species
UUAAGCGACUAAGCGUACACGGUGGAUGCCCUGGCAGUCAGAGGCGAUGAAGGACGUGCUAAUCUGCGAUAAGCGUCGGUAAGGUGAUAUGAACCGUUAUAACCGGCGAUUUCCGAAUGGGGAAACCCAGUGUGAUUCGUCACACUAUCAUUAACUGAAUCCAUAGGUUAAUGAGGCGAACCGGGGGAACUGAAACAUCUAAGUACCCCGAGGAAAAGAAAUCAACCGAGAUUCCCCCAGUAGCGGCGAGCGAACGGGGAGCAGCCCAGAGCCUGAAUCAGUGUGUGUGUUAGUGGAAGCGUCUGGAAAGGCGCGCGAUACAGGGUGACAGCCCCGUACACAAAAAUGCACAUGCUGUGAGCUCGAUGAGUAGGGCGGGACACGUGGUAUCCUGUCUGAAUAUGGGGGGACCAUCCUCCAAGGCUAAAUACUCCUGACUGACCGAUAGUGAACCAGUACCGUGAGGGAAAGGCGAAAAGAACCCCGGCGAGGGGAGUGAAAAAGAACCUGAAACCGUGUACGUACAAGCAGUGGGAGCACGCUUAGGCGUGUGACUGCGUACCUUUUGUAUAAUGGGUCAGCGACUUAUAUUCUGUAGCAAGGUUAACCGAAUAGGGGAGCCGAAGGGAAACCGAGUCUUAACUGGGCGUUAAGUUGCAGGGUAUAGACCCGAAACCCGGUGAUCUAGCCAUGGGCAGGUUGAAGGUUGGGUAACACUAACUGGAGGACCGAACCGACUAAUGUUGAAAAAUUAGCGGAUGACUUGUGGCUGGGGGUGAAAGGCCAAUCAAACCGGGAGAUAGCUGGUUCUCCCCGAAAGCUAUUUAGGUAGCGCCUCGUGAAUUCAUCUCCGGGGGUAGAGCACUGUUUCGGCAAGGGGGUCAUCCCGACUUACCAACCCGAUGCAAACUGCGAAUACCGGAGAAUGUUAUCACGGGAGACACACGGCGGGUGCUAACGUCCGUCGUGAAGAGGGAAACAACCCAGACCGCCAGCUAAGGUCCCAAAGUCAUGGUUAAGUGGGAAACGAUGUGGGAAGGCCCAGACAGCCAGGAUGUUGGCUUAGAAGCAGCCAUCAUUUAAAGAAAGCGUAAUAGCUCACUGGUCGAGUCGGCCUGCGCGGAAGAUGUAACGGGGCUAAACCAUGCACCGAAGCUGCGGCAGCGACACUAUGUGUUGUUGGGUAGGGGAGCGUUCUGUAAGCCUGUGAAGGUGUACUGUGAGGUAUGCUGGAGGUAUCAGAAGUGCGAAUGCUGACAUAAGUAACGAUAAAGCGGGUGAAAAGCCCGCUCGCCGGAAGACCAAGGGUUCCUGUCCAACGUUAAUCGGGGCAGGGUGAGUCGACCCCUAAGGCGAGGCCGAAAGGCGUAGUCGAUGGGAAACAGGUUAAUAUUCCUGUACUUGGUGUUACUGCGAAGGGGGGACGGAGAAGGCUAUGUUGGCCGGGCGACGGUUGUCCCGGUUUAAGCGUGUAGGCUGGUUUUCCAGGCAAAUCCGGAAAAUCAAGGCUGAGGCGUGAUGACGAGGCACUACGGUGCUGAAGCAACAAAUGCCCUGCUUCCAGGAAAAGCCUCUAAGCAUCAGGUAACAUCAAAUCGUACCCCAAACCGACACAGGUGGUCAGGUAGAGAAUACCAAGGCGCUUGAGAGAACUCGGGUGAAGGAACUAGGCAAAAUGGUGCCGUAACUUCGGGAGAAGGCACGCUGAUAUGUAGGUGAAGCGACUUGCUCGUGGAGCUGAAAUCAGUCGAAGAUACCAGCUGGCUGCAACUGUUUAUUAAAAACACAGCACUGUGCAAACACGAAAGUGGACGUAUACGGUGUGACGCCUGCCCGGUGCCGGAAGGUUAAUUGAUGGGGUCAGCGCAAGCGAAGCUCUUGAUCGAAGCCCCGGUAAACGGCGGCCGUAACUAUAACGGUCCUAAGGUAGCGAAAUUCCUUGUCGGGUAAGUUCCGACCUGCACGAAUGGCGUAAUGAUGGCCAGGCUGUCUCCACCCGAGACUCAGUGAAAUUGAACUCGCUGUGAAGAUGCAGUGUACCCGCGGCAAGACGGAAAGACCCCGUGAACCUUUACUAUAGCUUGACACUGAACAUUGAGCCUUGAUGUGUAGGAUAGGUGGGAGGCUUGGAAGUGUGGACGCCAGUCUGCAUGGAGCCGACCUUGAAAUACCACCCUUUAAUGUUUGAUGUUCUAACGUUGACCCGUGAUCCGGGUUGCGGACAGUGUCUGGUGGGUAGUUUGACUGGGGCGGUCUCCUCCUAAAGAGUAACGGAGGAGCACGAAGGUUGGCUAAUCCUGGUCGGACAUCAGGAGGUUAGUGCAAUGGCAUAAGCCAGCUUGACUGCGAGCGUGACGGCGCGAGCAGGUGCGAAAGCAGGUCAUAGUGAUCCGGUGGUUCUGAAUGGAAGGGCCAUCGCUCAACGGAUAAAAGGUACUCCGGGGAUAACAGGCUGAUACCGCCCAAGAGUUCAUAUCGACGGCGGUGUUUGGCACCUCGAUGUCGGCUCAUCACAUCCUGGGGCUGAAGUAGGUCCCAAGGGUAUGGCUGUUCGCCAUUUAAAGUGGUACGCGAGCUGGGUUUAGAACGUCGUGAGACAGUUCGGUCCCUAUCUGCCGUGGGCGCUGGAGAACUGAGGGGGGCUGCUCCUAGUACGAGAGGACCGGAGUGGACGCAUCACUGGUGUUCGGGUUGUCAUGCCAAUGGCACUGCCCGGUAGCUAAAUGCGGAAGAGAUAAGUGCUGAAAGCAUCUAAGCACGAAACUUGCCCCGAGAUGAGUUCUCCCUGAC